UGGGGAAUUUUGGACAAUGGGGGCAACCCUGAUCCAGCCAUGCCGCGUGCGGGAAGAAGGCCUUCGGGUUGUAAACCGCUUUUGGUCGGGAAGAAAGGGUUUGGGUUAAUAACCUGGACUGUUGACGGUACCGGCAGAAUAAGCACCGGCUAACUACGUGCCAGCAGCCGCGGUAAUACGUAGGGUGCGAGCGUUAAUCGGAAUUACUGGGCGUAAAGCGUGCGCAGGCGGUAAGUUAAGUCUGAUGUGAAAGCCCCGGGCUCAACCUGGGAACGGCAUUGGAAACUGGCUUGCUAGAGUGUGGCAGAGGGGGGUGGAAUUCCGCGUGUAGCAGUGAAAUGCGUAGAGAUGCGGAGGAACACCGAUGGCGAAGGCAGCCCCCUGGGCCAACACUGACGCUCAGGCACGAAAGCGUGGGGAGCAAACA
rnacentral:rRNA from 1 species